rnacentral:rRNA from 1 species
UCGGGAAUCUUGGGCAAUGGGGGCAACCCUGACCCAGCAACGCCGCGUGAGGGAUGAAGGCCUUCGGGUCGUAAACCUCUGUCGGGAGGGAAGAAAGGUGUCCGUUCGAAUAGGACGGGGACUCGACGGUACCUCCAAAGGAAGCGCCGGCUAACUCCGUGCCAGCAGCCGCGGUAAUACGGAGGGCGCAAGCGUUGUUCGGAAUCAUUGGGCGUAAAGCGCGUGUAGGCGGCCUGGUAAGUCGGGUGUGAAAUCCCGGGGCUCAACCCCGGAACUGCACUCGAAACUACCUCGCUAGAGUCCCGGAGAGGAAGGCGGAAUUCCCGGUGUAGAGGUGAAAUUCGUAGAUAUCGGGAGGAACACCAGCGGCGAAGGCGGCCUUCUGGACGGUGACUGACGCUGAGACGCGAAAGCGUGGGGAGCAAACAGGAUUAGAUACCCCCGUAGUCC